GGGCAGCUCAGGGAAGCAGGGCAGGAGGCUGCUCCUUCCUUCCUUCCCCUCUGCCUUGCAGAUGGACAGCCCAACACCAAUGGCUCCAGAUGCCCAAAAGUGAUGGAGCUCAGCCCUCCAAACUGCUGUUCACGCGCUACAAAGAAGGUGCUGGCACCAGACCUGCUGAUUGCAGUGGCCCUUUCCACAAUGACGUGGGGCAGCAACUCGGUGAGCAAGGCUGCGCAGGGGAGGGCAGCACAGGGCAGCAGGGCAGGAGGCUGCUCCUUUUAUUCCUCCCCCUCUGCCUUGCAGAUGGACAGCCCAACACAAAUGGCUCCAGAUGACCCAAAGUGCUGGAGCUCAGCCCUGCAAACUGCUGUCCCACAAAAAAGGUGCUGGCACCACACCACCUGAUUGCAGUGGCCGUGUCAACAUGGCACUGGUGACCCAAACGGCCAAGGAAACCAUUUUCAGAGCAGCAACCCGGUGAGCAGGGCUGUGCAGGGGAGGGCAGCACAGGGCAGCAGGGCAGGAGGCUGCUCCCUUCUUCCUUCCUUCCCCUCUGCCUUGCAGAUGGGCAUCCGCACCAAGAUGGAACCAGAGCAGGACACACGCCUGUCCUCAGCUCUCCAUCUGGUCUCCGUGCCCCCAGGACAGCCCUGGGGACACAGGCAGCCCCACACAGCCAUGGAAAUGGCUGGCAGAGCAGCAACCCGGUGAGCAGGGCUGUGCAGGGGAGUUCAGCACAGGGCAGCAGGGCAGGAGGCUGCUCCUUCCUUCCUUCCUCUCCCUCUGCCUUGCAGAAGGACAGCCCAACAGCCUGCCAGCACCUUCAGUGCUGCACACAUCAGCGCCUCCAGGAACCACAAGGAUGGUGUGAAACAGAACUCUGAAGACCAGGAUGCAACAAGAGCCUAAAAGGGAUGGAUGGGCCCAAUGCAGAAAUACCACAG